UUUUAAGGCUAGUGAAAUAAUCCUCCUCCUUUCAGAGGAGGGCCACAGAUAAAUGAUCUGAGAUGGAAUAUCCCUAGGAAGACAGGCUGAGAGAGCUCGAUUUGUUCAACCUGGAGGAGAGAAGGCUCCAGGGAGACCUUUCAGUGGCCUUUCAGUAUCUAAAGGGAAAAGAAAAGAUUAAAGCAGACCUUUGACAGGCAGUGGAGAGAGAAAUACAGAGAGAGAAGAGUCUGACCCUCUCCUCACUACAGCCUCCUUUCAGGUAGUUUUAGGGAGAGAUAAGUUCUCCCUUGGGCCUCAUUCUCUCCAGACCAUGAGGUAAGAAAAUUGCAAGAGAGAAAAUGUACUUUGGAAAACAAUUACUGCUGCAGGCUAGAAAGUAUCAGCACAAUGUGAAUGUACUGCAGAUUUCUUUCCCUGACUGAAUUUUGAUCUGUUUCCAGUAUUUCAUAUUCCUCCAGACCACAUAUUAGAGAAGAGAGAGAAGAAGCAAACAAGCAAACAAAAGAAAUCCCUACACCAGUUGGUGUGAAAAUGAGGUUGGAUAUUAAUCUACUUGAAUGUUUCAUAAAACCUAAUGCCAGAUAGGAUUUAAUAUUUUUAAACAUCUGGAAUUAAUAUCUCUGUAAAAUUUCAGUUUAUUCUUAAAAAAUGGGAAAUAUCUACUGGGGAAUCCUUGCUUUGAAACUCCCACCUCUGGAAGCAGUCAUACCAUCUAACUAUAGGCAUCUAUAUGUGCCAAAGUUAGAACAUCUUUCUUUGGAUCACAGUAGCUGUACGGAGAUGAAUUGACUCAUUGGUUGUGAAUACAUGUGCUUUGGGCUCAAGCAGUUCAUCACAUGUUGGAAUAGCUGACUUUUCUCUGUUUAUGCACUGGGAGAUAAAAUGGAGAGUUGUGCAACCUAGUGUGGACUACUGAAUUUGAUGUCUGUGGUAAGGGGGCGUGGACAGACUUGUUUAUUGAUAUGAAUGGGGUUCAUCAGAUGGUCUGCAAACAUCUGCACGUGGCCUGGCCUGGUCAUCUCUACUGCUUGCAUACCUCAUCACAAUGGGAUGUCUGAAAGUGAACACAAUUUUUUCUGCUGAAGUGCUCUGUUUCUCCAGUGACUACAUCAGGAUUUUAAGUUAUUUUAAAUUCAGAGACAGAUUUUUUAUGAUGGGGACCUCUAAAGUUAAAUAAUACAAAGUUCAUCCUGUAUAUCUGGCAUUGAGCUCUUCAGUUAAUUCUUAGUAAUUCUUUGUUAGCUAGUUUACAGACAGAGUCAUCUAAUCAGAAACAUGAUUCCUAAAACAGUUAUUUAUCAGAUGUGAUAUUUUCAAUAUUUAAUGAUCUGUGCCGAACAACAUGGGUUAACCUUUUCUACUUCCACUGUGAGAACAAGAUUUUGAAACUGCACAUCCAUUAACAGCUCAGUGAUUAAUAUAUACUAGACUUGUUUUCGAUAAUUAUAGAUCAUCAGAAAAAAAAGCCAGCAUAAUUUCUGAAAUAACUAUAUGAGAGCUUCAUUCAUCUACUCACACAGAAAGCUAAUAUUAACUAAUGUAAUCCAUGGAUUUCUUUAAAGUAAAAUUUAUCAAAUUUGGAUAUGAAAAUGGGAGCAUAACAUCCAUAUUCAGAAAACUAAAUGAUUUAUUUAAGUGCUUAGAAAAUUAGAAAAUCUGCUUUCCAUAAUGGCUGCUGCCAAUUACAUACAUAUCCAGUGGGUAUGCAUAGGGUCUGAAAAUUCUCCUGUCUGUGCUGGGGAACUGACCUCAGUCCAUUGAAGCAACACCAAACAGAGAAAGAUUUUCAGGUAGGCAAUGGAAAUCAUUUCCAUCUCUGUAGAUGCCUCCAUAAGCAGACAGGUCAGAAAACUUUAACCUCAACUAUUGGAGUAAUGCACUUAAUGCCUUAAUGUAAGGCACUUUAGAGCUCUCUGUGGUCUGUUACAGUAAUGAAGAUUGCUGGUAACAUUUAAUAUCUUCAGUAAAACAUUCAAUCUCUGUGGAACUGUAAUUGUGCAUAAAAGGCUAGAGAAUGAAAGAACACAGCGCAUACCUCCAGCAAGUGAAAUCAACUUAAGUUUGUUAGAGGUAAUGGAAAAAAAAAAGGUAGAGCAAUGUACUGCACUUUGCUUCCAGGAGUACCUUGCUUACGUGUGAUCUCUCACCAAAAAGGGAGGGUCUUGGAACAUUCUGCCAAAGGGAAAAUUUCAUAAGUAGCACUACUGCUAUCACUGCAGUAUAAAGCAAUCAUUAUUUCAUACUACACAGACAUAUUAUGAUGUAGUUUAGACUUUGGAAUUACAAAGAAAACACUAUAUUUGCAGGCAUUUCUGUGGCCUUCUGCCAUAAACCACUUUUUUAUAUCACGGGAGCUUUAUAUCAUUUUCACAACAUUUGAUUUACGCUUGUUGAUUAUUUGCAUUAAAUUUACUAAUCCAGUUCAUAUGUAAAUUAGAAGCACAAUCUCCCUCAUUUCUUUUUGUCAGGUCAGAAAGUAUUUCCCAACUAUCUCUACAAGGGCUUCUCUGGAAGUAAUGCAUCCUAUUUUAUUAUCUCGACCCACAACAUCAGAGGUGGAUGCUGGUGAUAUGGGAGUAGAAACUGAACUUUCCCACCAAUAUUCCAUUACAUUUUUUGCCAUAUGACAGAAGGCAGCAGAGGGGCAGUGUGACAGAAUGACUUGGAAGUGUGUAUGGCACAAAGUUGUGUCACUGAAUUCCUCCAUGCAGAAAACAGUGCACCCAAUGACUUUCAUCAGUGCUUGCUGAAUGCUUAUGGAGACCAAACAGUGGAUGUCAUUGCAG
ensembl:lncRNA